rnacentral:rRNA from 1 species
CAGUAGCCACGGUAAUACGAGGGGGGCAAGCGUUGUUCGGAAUUAUUGGGCGUAAAGGAUGCGUAGGCGGCUUGACAAGUCUUGUGUGAAAUCUAUGGGCUCAACCCAUAGUCUGCACGGGAAACUGUCGGGCUUGAGAAUGGGAGAGGUGAGUGGAAUUUCCGGUGUAGCGGUGAAAUGCGUAGAUAUCGGAAGGAACACCUGUGGCGAAAGCGGCUCACUGGACCAUUUCUGACGCUGAUGCACGAAAGCUAGGGGAGCAAACAGGAUUAGAUACCCGCGUAGUCCCUGUCUCUUAUAC